GUGGGGUCAUAGCUUAGCUGUAGAGCGCUUGUCUUACACUUGUGAGGUACUGGGUUCAAUCCUCAGCACCACA
rnacentral:tRNA from 1 species